rnacentral:rRNA from 1 species
GGCGAACGGCGGAGUAAUACGUGAACAAGCUGCCCUAGAGUCUGGGAUAUACAGCCGAAAGGCUGGGCAAUACCGGAUAUGCCUCCUUCUCGGCAUCGAGUUGGAAGUAAAUGAUUUUUCGCUUUAGGAGGCGUUCACGGCCUAUCAGGUAGUUGGUGGGGUAAUGGCCUACCAAGCCGACGACGGGUAGCGGGUCUGAGAGGAUGGUCCGCUCGAGUGGGACUGAGACACGGCCCACACACCUACGGGUGGCAGCAGUUGGGAAUCUUGCACAAUGGGGGAAACCCUGAUGCAGCGACGCCGCGUGGAGGACGAAGGGUCUAGGCCUGUAAACUCCUUUUUUCGGGAAAGACUUAGGACGGUACCCGAAGAAUAAGGACCGGCUAACUACGUGCCAGCAGCCGCGGUAAGACGUAGGGUCCAAGCGUUGUCCGGAUUUACUGGGCGUAAAGAGCGCGUAGGCGGCUCGUUAAGUGUAGAGUGAAAUCUCUGGGCUCACCCCAGAAACUGCUCUGCAUACUGGCGAGCUGGAGGGAUGGAGAGGCUUGUGGAAUUCCUGGUGUAGCGGUGAAAUGCGUUGAUAUCAGGAGGAACACCCAUGACGAAGGCAGCAAGCUGGCCAUCACCUGACGCUGAGGCGCGAAAGCGUGGGUAGCAAACAGGAUUAGAUACCCUGGUAGUCCACGCCCUAAACGAUGGAUACUAGGCGUAAGGGUAUCGACCCCCCUUGUGCCGCAGCUAACGCACUAAGUAUCCCGCCUGGGGAGUACGGCCGCAAGGUUGAAACUCAAAUGAAUUGA